rnacentral:misc_RNA from 1 species
AAAGAAAGAUUUCAGCCACCCACAAGUGCGCCUCAUACUCAGUUAUCCACAUGUGAUUCCACCCUUUCUAGACUUGUCCUAGACAUUGGCUGCAAUCUAAAGAUUUUGUAUCAAAUCAAAGGGCAAAAACUCUCUUGUGCGUAGAAGCUUGGGCUCUUCAUGGGUUAUGUUUGAAAUGUUUAUAGAAUUAUUGUGGAGAAUUUAGCAGUACUUACUUGAGCUUCAUUGGUUAAAAAUUAGAAUACUAAAUUAAGGUUGCUAGAAGGUUAUGAUAAAAAUGGCAAAAUUUUUUUGCAUGUUGGAUUGUUGUGUUUUAAAGAUAGAUUCAUUUAUGCUGUUUGUCAAGAGAAAAAGAUGUUCUAUGGCAUGAAAUGGCUGUUGUGUAAAAGUCCUACAUCCAGGAAAAGAAUUGUGAUAAUUCAACCUUCAGUAUUUCUAUUACGAUAGGCCAUACAUAUUUCUGAUUAAAUAGGAUGUAGGGAUGGCACCAUUUUUCUUUACCAGAUCCAGAAUCAACUUCUUUUAUACCCUCCUGUAUUGAUGUUUAGAAUGCCAGAGUUUUGCCCUUCUUGUCAUUAGUUCACUUCACUUUCUGACUUUAAUAUCCCGCUAGUUUGCUUUCUCUAUUUACGAUAUAUAUGCCAUGGGAUUUAAUAUCACCUAUCUGCAAACCAUUCUAUUUCUUUAAUUAUCAAAAUUUUAAAUGUUUUAUCCAGAGCAAUUUGGGCCACAUGUGUUUACUGUUUUUGUUAUGUGGGUGUAUUCUGUUUAAGAAUUUACAUCGAAAACCAGCAGGGUACAGAAACCUUAGUGAACAGUGAAACAUACUCGGCAUUGCACGAUUGUCUUGCUUCUGAUUGUAUAUAAAAUUAAUUUCUGGUUCUUAUGGGUUGAAGCAAUAGAUUAAUAGUUCAUCCACAUAACAUUAGCAAGAUAAUGCUCUGCAGUAUUGUGCUAUUGCAACUCUAUUUUAGCAUUAAUAAUUUUCUUCAUUUGGCUAGGCAAAAUUCCAUCAGAAGGAUU